UACGUAGGGUGCAAGCGUUGUCCGGAUUUAUUGGGCGUAAAGAGCGCGUAGGCGGCUCGGUAAGCCGGAUGUGAAACCUCCAAGCUCAACUUGGAGCGGCCAUUCGGAACUGCUGUGGCUAGAGUCUGGUAGGGGAACACGGAAUUCCUGGUGUAGCGGUGAAAUGCUUAGAUAUCAGGAGGAACACCAGUGGCGAAGGCGGUGUUCUGGGCCAGUACUGACGCUGAGGCGCGAAAGCGUGGGGAGCGAACAGG
rnacentral:rRNA from 1 species